rnacentral:rRNA from 1 species
GUGAAAUAGAACCUGAAACCGUGUACGUACAAGCAGUAGGAGCACCUUCGUGGUGUGACUGCGUACCUUUUGUAUAAUGGGUCAGCGACUUAAUUUUAGUAGCAAGGUUAACCGUUUAGGGGAGCCGUAGGGAAACCGAGUCUUAACUGGGCGUACAGUUGCUAGGAUUAGACCCGAAACCAGGUGAUCUAGCCAUGGGCAGGUUGAAGGUUGAGUAACAUCAACUGGAGGACCGAACCGACUAAUGUUGAAAAAUUAGCGGAUGACUUGUGGCUAGGGGUGAAAGGCCAAUCAAACCUGGAGAUAGCUGGUUCUCCCCGAAAGCUAUUUAGGUAGCGCCUCGGACGAAUACUACUGGGGGUAGAGCACUGUUAAGGCUAGGGGGUCAUCCCGACUUACCAACCCUUUGCAAACUCCGAAUACCAGUAAGUACUAUCCGGGAGACACACGGCGGGUGCUAACGUCCGUCGUGGAGAGGGAAACAACCCAGACCGCCAGCUAAGGUCCCAAAGUAUAGCUAAGUGGGAAACGAUGUGGGAAGGCUCAGACAGCCAGGAUGUUGGCUUAGAAGCAGCCAUCAUUUAAAGAAAGC